AUGAACGCUGGCGGCGUGCCUAAUACAUGCAAGUCGAGCGAACAGACGAGGAGCUUGCUCCUCUGACGUUAGCGGCGGACGGGUGAGUAACACGUGGAUAACCUACCUAUAAGACUGGGAUAACUUCGGGAAACCGGAGCUAAUACCGGAUAAUAUAUUGAACCGCAUGGUUCAAUAGUGAAAGACGGUUUUGCUGUCACUUAUAGAUGGAUCCGCGCCGCUUUAGCUAGUUGGUAAGGUAACGGCUUACCAAGGCGACGAUGCGGAGCCGACCUGAGAGGGUGAUCGGCCACACUGGAACUGAGACACGGUCCAGACUCCUACGGGAGGCAGCAGUAGGGAAUCUUCCGCAAUGGUCGAAAGCCUGACGGAGCAACGCCGCGUGAGUUAUGAAGGUCUUCGGAUCGUAAAACUCUGUUAUUAGGGAAGAACAAAUGUGUAAGUAACUAUGCACGUCCUGACGGUACCUAAUCAGAAAGCCACGGCUAACUACGUG
rnacentral:rRNA from 1 species